AAUUAUUAAUCUUUAUAAUUUUACUAUCAAAUCCACCUUCAAUAAACAUUUCAAAUUUAUAUUCAUUUAAAUAUUUUUAUUGUAACCCAUUUCUACUUAAAUAUUAGCUACACCUUGAUCUGAUAUAUUUUCUUUUUAAAAAUUAUGAAAAUUAACAUUCUUAUAAAAUAUUCUAAUAACGACGGUAUAUAAACUGAUUACAAACUUAAGUAAGGUCCAUCGUGGAUUAUCGAUUACAGAACAGGUUCCUCUGAAUAGACUAAAAUACCGCCAAAUUUUUUAAGUUUCAAGAACAUAACUACUACUACCUUAGUUUUUAAAUUUACAUUUUAAAUAAUAGGGUAUCUAAUCCUAGUUUAUUAUUAAAAUUUUCAAGCUUCAAUUAUUUUAUAUAAAAAAUUUAUAAAUUUAAAAUUUCACCUAAUAAAUUUAUUCUUAUUUUAUAAAUAAACAACUUAACUUUAACCAAAGAAAAUUUAUUUGCAUUAUUCGUAUAACCGCGGCUGCUGGCACAAAUUUAGCCAAUACUCUUUAAUAUUACUAUUUCUAAGUUUCCUUAAUUAAUAAUACUAAUUACUGCGAAUACAAUUAACUUAUUUAUUAUUUAAAUAA
rnacentral:rRNA from 1 species